ensembl:lncRNA
CGGAAUCUCACCGCAAGAAGCCUCCAGCGCAGGAGCGGUCCCCUGGCACCCAGGAUGUUUAUUGACCUUCCUGGCCCCCAUGGCGUCCCCGUAUCGGGGCUUGUGCCCACCACCGCCAACACCCAGAGCCACAAAUGGCCCGGGAGAGCACUUUCCCGCCGUGUACCGGUGCCUCCACGGCUCUCACAUGCAACUUGCUGUGCCCAGCUUCCCCCCUCGGGGACCGAGGGCACUUCUGUGCCCGGAGACACCACCAGCCAUAGAGGCCAGGGAAGGACACCACAUGAGGCAAGACCGGUUAGGUUCUAAACAGGGCAAGAAUACUGGAAUGGGUUGCCAUUUCCUCCUCCAAGGGAUCUUCCCAACCCAGAAAUAGAACCUGUGUCCCCUGUCUCCUGCUUGGCAGGUGGAUCAUUACCACUGAGCCACCUGGGAAGCCCUUAGUAUGAGGAGGAAGCCCAGGCCUCGUGGGGAGGCUUCCUGAAGCUCUGCCAGCAAGCCCAGCUUCAGCUGCAGACGUGGUAGGGACGUCACCUCCAGUGGAGUCCAGCUCCUAGUGUUAGUAUCAACCCCAACUGGAGGAUCUGCUGGAGGAACCCCCCUGGGGCUGGAAUGAGGAACAGGGAUUGAGUACCCUGAAGGUUUAUGAAACAGCCAAAGAGAUUUCUUCAUAUUCAGGGAUAUACAUCCCUCUGCUCAGAUACAAUCUAAUUGGUGAAGGUGGGGCCCUUUGCUGCAUCAAUUUGAGGAGGAGCCCUGAUUUUUGGUUCUUACAGGUGGUGAGACCUAGAGAUUGACCUCCCAGAAAAAAGUACUGGCCCAGUUCUGGUGUCUCCAGAAGCAACUGCAUCAUUUAGAUGGUGUGGGAUUGUGUGAAGGAGGGUGUUUGGAGGUGGGCAUGUGUUGAAACCACAUAGUAUUACUGUGAAUCUGCCUGUCUGUGUAUAUCCUCAGAAAAAAAGAGGGACAUGUGCCCUCUUCAGCCUCACCUUUUCAUGCCAUGCCCUUCAUUCACACUUGCUCGUCCAGAUCUUCAUCAUCAUCAAUGACAUCCCCAAAGUGAAAGUGAAAGUGAAGUAGCUCAGUUGGGUCCAACUCUUUGGACCCCAUGGACUGUAGCCCACCAGGCUCCUCCAUCCAUGGGAUUCUCCAGGCAAGAAUACUGAAGUGGGUUGCCAUUUCCUUCUCCAGGGGAUCUUCCCAACCCAGGGAUCAAACCCAGGUCUCCCAAAUUGCAUGCAGAUGCUUUAACCUCGAGGCACCAGGGAAGCACAAUGACAUCUCCAAAAGCAUUCCUCAAAAAGAUUAACAGAGUUUUCUGACAUCUAGAAGGAAGAGAUCAGUCGGGCAGGUCCAAGCCCUUCCAGGGCAGGAAAGCAACCAUAUGCAGUAGCCCAGGGCAGUGCAGACUGUAUGGGGCCCAUUGAGCUGUGUGGGUCCAGACCUACUGACUCCAGCCUCAACUCCUGCUCAGGCCACUCAUGGUGACAAAGCCAGAUUCAAGGGUGCCGACCUGAGCUCAGGAGUGAGGACGAUGCUAAGAAAGUGGGGGAAGAGGGCUGCAGACAGAUUUCAUAUAUUUUAUAUAAGGUCCCAGGAACCCAGUUGCCUAUAAGAGACCUGGUCCUGCAGAAUGAUAAUCAUAAAAAGAUGGAAAGAGGAGAUGGGAAUAGGUUACAAGGAGAGUCUGUGGAUCAGAAAAAGAGAAAAGAAAAAAAAAAAAAAGAGAUAUGAAAGAAGAAAUAAAUGAUUUCCAUAUUCUUGCUCUUCUCUAAUUCUUCAUUAUCUGCUGUACAGUUUUCUGGUGUUGGUGGGCAGUAGUCAUGUGGAGUGGCUGUGAGAAAGUAAAAGGGCAAUUUAGAGUCAGGAUGUGACCAGGGGACCCUGUGCUCCUCAGAGCCUGGACUUGGGCCCCUGGUGUCCUUGUCUCCAGGGUCCUCCCAGGACCUCAGUGUUUUAUGCUUCAGUGAAAAAGUGGGUCUCUGACCUCCAAAAUCCUGUUGCCACCCUCAACUUGUCUACAUGUGACCAGGAAUGAGGCUGUGCCUCCUCCAAGUGCUCACUGUCUCCAUGAGUCUCUGCCCACGACCUUGUGAGAGAGUCAUUUCCUAGGCAGUUUGAUAAGAAGUCUGG